rnacentral:rRNA from 1 species
GGGAGGAAAAGAAACUAACAAGGAUUUUCUUAGUAGCGGCGAGCGAAAAGAAAAUAGUUCAGCACUAAGUCACUUUGUCUUUAUGGCAAAUGUGAGAUGCAGUGUAUGGAAUGUCAAAUUUCUAGUAUGAGAAAUUAACGAUUUAAGUCCUUCUUAAAUGAGGCCAUUUACCCAUAGAGGGUGCCAGGCCCGUAUAACGUUAAUGAUUACUAGAUGGCAUUUCCAAAGAGUCGUGUUGCUUGAUAGUGCAGCACUAAGUGGGUGGUAAACUCCAUCUAAAACUAAAUAUAACCAUGAGACCGAUAGUAAACAAGUACCGUGAGGGAAAGUUGAAAAGAACUCUGAAUAGAGAGUUAAAUAGUACGUGAAACUGCUUAGAGGUUAAGCCCGAUGAACCUGAAUAUCCAUUAUGGAAAAUUCAUCAUUAUGAUUUUAAUAUUUAUAAUAUUAUAAUAAUGGUGUGCAUUUUUUCUAUAAAGGACAUUGUAAUCUAUUAAUAUUACAAAAUUUAUCAUAAGAUCGAUUGCGUAAGUUUAUUCGAAUUAUUUUGCUUGCAAUUUAACAGAGAAUAAAUGCUCUCGAUUUGAUAAAGUGUUGAUAGAUUUAUUAUAUAUAGUGCUUAAAUAUAUUUAUAUAUUUUAUAAUAGCAUAUUAAUCAUAGAUUUUUAUGUUUAUUAUAUGCACUUAUAUGAUUAACAAUGCGAAAGAUUCAGGAUACCUUCGGGACCCGUCUUGAAACACGGACCAAGGAGUCUAACAUAUUUGCAAGUUAUUGGGAAUAAAAACCUAAUAGCGAAAUUAACAUAACUUAUAUAUAAUGGGAUUAGUUUUUAGCCUAUUUAUAGUCUAUUAAUUCAAUCCCGGGGCGUUCUAUACAGUUAUGUAUAAUAGUAUUUAUACUAUUUAUACCUCUAACUAGAGCGUACCUUGAGCAUAUAUGCUGUGACCCGAAAGAUGGUGAACUAUACUUGAUCAGGUUGAAGUCAGGGGAAACCCUGAUGGAAGACCGAAACAG